AGAGUUUGAUCAUGGCUCAGAUUGAACGCUGGCGGCAGGCCUAACACAUGCAAGUCGAACGGUAACAUUUCUAGCUUGCUAGAAGAUGACGAGUGGCGGACGGGUGAGUAAUGCUUGGGAACUUGCCUUUGCGAGGGGGAUAACAGUUGGAAACGACUGCUAAUACCGCAUAAUGUCUACGGACCAAACGGGGCUUCGGCUCCGGCGCAAAGAGAGGCCCAAGUGAGAUUAGCUAGUUGGUAAGGUAAGGCUUACCAAGGCUACGAUCUCUAGCUGUUCUGAGAGGAAGAUCAGCCACACUGGAAACUGAGACACGGUCCAGACUCCUACGGGAGGCAGCAGUGGGGGAAUAUUGCACAAUGGGGGAAACCCUGAU
rnacentral:rRNA from 1 species